AUCCUCUCUGGCCUUUUGGCUUAGAUCAUGUGUAGUAUCUGUUCUUAUAAGUUUAACCACUUAUAUGGGUCCACCGGACCCAUCUGGUUUACUUCUUUUUGCCUUGCCCGUCCGGCCAUCCUCUGCUUGCACGACGGCCGGACACGAUGACCUUGCCACUGCACUGCCGGCUUGUGUUGUCAGGGACC
rnacentral:snRNA from 17 species